UUGAUAAUUCAAUGUUUGUCUAAGGACUUAUUGGAGUACGUCAAUACGUGUUUGAUAAACAUGUUUAUUGUCUUGCGACAACAUUCAUGGUGCAUUGUACCAAAUCGAUAUUGAUUUUAUACUGUUACAAAAUAUUAUUAAAAAAACCAUAUUAACUAUUAAUUUGUUAUAAUUAAUUCAACUUGUCCCCGUCGCGUUUGUAACGUAUUUAUAGUUGCAUAUUAUUAUUUAAUUUAUUGUCAUAGUAAAAAUCUUCCGAUAAACAUAAAGUAUAUAAAAUGGAUGUGAUGGAGAAUUGACCAGAUUCAUUGAUAAGUUUUCCAUUUUAAAACGAAAUAGGUUUUGUUAGCUAGUUACGAAGCUUAGUACGAAGUUAACUGAUUAAAACAAGAUAGAAAACGUACAGACAGGCCCUUUGAUUUUAAGUACAACUUCUCCUGUGGCGUUCUUUAUGACGUAGCAGGGCUUGAAGAUUGACCACUCUUGUUCAAUGGAGCCAAUGACGGUACCAGGAGGCGAAGUUACUUCCAUGCUUUGUAACCAACACGGACACCAACAAGAAUCGCAUGCUAAAGGGCGAUUUAGGUGAAUAACCUGAAAAUAGUAGCGAGUAUUUUACUAGUAUUUUCAAGCGAUUGGUUCUGAAUAAAUUUUUUGUAUGAA